UCUCGGUGUUCACCGGGCGGAGGGCAUGGGCCAGGUGGGAGGGUCUCCUGCGUCUGCUGCAAAUCUCCAUGAAAGUGUAGGAAACAGCACCAAACGUAACUGCAAAGUUUGGGUUUGGCGCGCGGGUAGGCGUUCCACCGCAGAUAAGCGGAGGAAAGCUUUGGCUGCGCUUGUAGGCAGGUCGGCCCCAAGCACUUCUUAUUGGCUAAUGUGGAGCAAACCUGCACAUCCAUUGGCUGAAAGCUCCGUCUAUUUGAGGCUGACUGAAAGCGUCCCUUCCUUCUGUGUUGGCUGGAAACGGACUGUCCGCCUAGUCAUAUCUGAUCGCGUUUCCCAUUGGUCACCGUUUCCGGAAGCCCGCCUUCGCGUUUCCGGAAUCCCAUAACAGGCUGGGUCUGCAGAUGGUGUCCAGGUCCGCCGUGGCAAGUGUGGUUCCGCAGUCUUGGGCUGUUCCACCUAGCACCCGCUGGACAUGGGACGCCGGAGGGUCAGCGGCGUUUAGUCCUCGCCAUCAUCGUCCUCAGGUCCAGGCACUCCCACUCCUCCUGACAGAAAUCUACAGCCACAUCCCUGAACAUCAUCAACUGUUGAAAGAACAAGUCCAGGUAUUAAUGGUGAACUUUUUAAAAAUAACCCCUUUAGAUGAAAGGGGAAAGGCUGGAAAGGGGCACUGCAGGGAGUAGGGCACAUACUGGGCAAAAAACUGGAGUUGGCUGCCUGUGGUUUCAGGGGAAAUGACAUGGGAAUAAGCGUGACUAAAGGCGAGUGUCUACAUGCUCCUUUUUUUUGUUGUUGUUCUUUUUUGAGACAGAGUCUUGCUCUGUCACCCAUACUGGAGUGCAGUGGUGCAAUCUCGACUCACUGCAACCUCUGCCUCCCAGGUUCAAGUGAUUCUUGUGCCCCAGCCACCCUAACAGCUGGGAUUACGUGUGUGCACCACCGCGCCCGGCUAAUUUUUUGUAUUUUUAGUACAGACAGGGUUUCUCAAUGUUGGCCAGGCUGGUCUUGAACUCCUGACCUCAAAUGAUCCACCCACCUCGGCUCCCAAAGUCCUAACAAGCCACUGCACCUGGCUACAUGCUCGUAAAAACUCCUGUUGCUCAGUCACCACAUCUUUAUGAUCUUCAAAUCACAAAUACCAAAACAUCAGAAUGGCAGCCCAGAAUAACAGGCAUCAUAUGAGUUUUUUGUUGAUAUCACUGGGAGGCUACACCAGCCUGGAAGAACCCCAGAUUUAUUAUGUGAGAAAAGUAGGGGGUUUUAUUGGUUGUAAGGAGUCUACUGUGCACAAACAGACUUGUGCAUACAGUCUUUGGCCCACGUAACUGUCCUUUGCUUAAGCUACUACUUUCAGUUGAAUUUUCUGUUAGUUUAAAUUGAGAGAAUUCUCAAGAGACGCACUCCCUGACUGAAUAUUAUUUCCUGUGGACCAUGUGUAGAAUCUCCAGGCUCUUUGCUAAGCAGCUGACACUCAGCAAAUUCAGUGUCAUAAGAGAUUACUGUGAAAGUCAUCAAAUGAGUUUUUUGUCGACACCACUGAGAGGCUAUACCAGCCUGGAAUAACUAACCCUGGAUUGUUAAUUAUAUUAACCUCUCAUUAAUUUCCUGGAAAAUUCCAGAUCUCUUUGAACUCAACCUCCCAUCGUAUCUGCUAAGGAAAGCAUCACAAAGGGCCACAUACCUAAAUGAAUACCAACCAACACCAACUCCCAUCUUGAUUAAAUAAAACAUCCCAUUCUACAGAGUGAAUAAAAGCCUUUAUGUAGUAUGUCCCCUUUAAUUGUUCCAUCCCAUCUUGUUAAGCUACGGGUUUGAAAUGAAAAGUCUUUACUGUUUCCCUUAAGGAAAUGUAUUUCUCUUCCUCAGUGCUCUGCCAGAUUAGGACACAGGAGAUACUGAAAGCUCUGGUGGAUAGAUUUGGUCAUACAGGUUGGAGAAAAGAGAUAUCUAGGGAAAGCAUUGGACUGUUUCACAGUCAUUACUUAUGACGCUCAAUAGUGAUUCAAGUAAGCAGUUAAGGAUAAGCAAUAAAAAUAUUCACAUGAUUUGAUAUAAAUGGGUUAUAUUUUAGAGAGAGGCAAUUCCAACUCACAUGGACCAUGACUCAACAUUCCAAGUCUACAGUCCUCUGGAUUCUUCUCUUGGUGAGGCAGUGUGCUGAGAAAGCAGAGCUAGAAAGAAAAAAUCACGAGGUCAGGCCUUUCUCAGAGCUCUUAAAUGGACAAGCAGGAAUGCCAUUUUCUUCCUUGGAGGUAGGUCAUAAGGAACCUGAAGAAAUCCUGGCCCUAUCCAAAACCAGAGAGAGUCAACAAAAGCAGGAUGAAGUUUCAGUCUAAUCACUUAUGCCAAAAUCAUGACAUGGGAUCAGGAUACUACUAGAUAAGUCAAUUCUGGCUUGCCCUAAGUUCAUAUAUACAUACGUUAACAUUUAUCCUCAAGCCACCUAUGAAUGUCAGUUACUUGUCUCAUUUAAAAGAUCAAGAAAUGGGUCACUGGCUCAAAUUUACUAUUAGGAAAUAUCAUAGGUUUGCUGAAUGCAAAGCUCGUUCACUUUGAAUACCUCUGGAUUUCAGGAUUUUUUAUUUUACUGAGUGAAGGAUGAGCUGGACCUUUCCCUUAUAGGAGCAGCCCAUGAUCUCUGCCUCCUGUGUUUUCAUUGACACUGAGCAGCAGGGUGACUUUUUCAUGAAAGGAACACAAAGAUCGAAGGAAGGCUGGGUUGGGCGAGUAGUCAGUUUUGUGAAGCAAGGACUUUUAUUAAAGAAAUAUAUUGAAGCCUCUCUGAGUCUAGCUUUGCACUUAGCAAAAGGGAAUCAGAUAAGUAAGUUGCAGGACUAACUAUCAAGGAAUUCACAGUCAGAAAAGUAAAGAGGCAAUUACAAUACUGUAGGAAAUAAAGGGAAUCGUGGUUAUGAAAGGAGCCAACUAGUUUUUAAGAGAAAGUUUCCUGUAGGAGAUGGUACUUCAGCUGACUCUUGAGGGGCUGUUCUGUGUGGGAAAUGCGCGAGGGGAGAAGAAAAGAAACACAAUACCUUUAAGAGUAAACAACCUUUAUCGCACGUAAAUGGCAAUGCAGAUAUAAUAAGCAAAUGAUAUAAUAAGCAAAUUGCAAUGGGAAGGGGAGAAGGGAAAAAAUAUAUAUACUUACAUACACAUACAUAUAUAUACACACACACAUACAUAUACAUAUAUAUAUAUAUAUUCACCAAACUAUGAAGGAUUCACCACCAGACUGGAAAGCAACAGCCUGGGCUCCAGGGUCACACAUUACACUCACCAGACUAUGGAGGAUUCAUCACCAGACUGGGAAGCAACAGUCUGGGCUCCAGCAUUGGCCACCCCUCUGUGCACAGACGAGGAGAGGUCUCAUGAAGCUUUGGCGCAGUCUGGGACCUUAGCUCUUUUUGUAACAAGUUGUUUGGCAUGAGGCCCAGUCACAAGGGCCCUGAUUGACGACCGGGCUCAAGGAACACAAAAAGGUCAAGUCGUUUUUGCGAUUGUCUGUUGUUUUUCAAUAACUAAUGUAUAGGAAUAGAUUGAAAUAGAGAUUUCUCUGAAACAGCACUGGAUGAGUGCCUCAAGGGGCUCACACAACCUGUCCUGGGACUUGGUGACCAUUGUGUCCAGUUCAACUGAGUUCAAAUUUAAUAUUUAACUUCUCCUCCACAGGGGCUCACCAGAGAAGACAGGGCAAGGUGAGGGGGAUAUCCUAGCAGAGGAAACAACAUGUGCCAGUCAAGCAAAGAUAUCUUUGUGCAUUCAAGGAACACAGAGUGAGAGGAAAGACCAGUGGCAGAUGGGGAUGUAUAAAGCAGGGAUCCUGUUAUGAAAAGCUCUAAAAAAAUAGGCUAUAGCAUUUGGACCUUAUUUCAGAAGUAAUAAGAAAGCAUUCUGCAUUUUUAAAGUAAGGUUUAAAAAUGUUUCUAAUUAAAGAUAAAACAAAGUUGGUGUGAGAGGGUAAAGACUGAUAUACACAAUCUGAGGAGUUCAUAAAAAUUCCAUGUAAAGCAUGUUGUAUGAAUUGGUCCUAGGAGACAGAGAGCUUCAGCAGCAUAGAGAACUUUAAGAACUUUUCCAAGAAUGGAGGGCUGGAGAAUAAAUUGUGAACUAAAAUAUAUUUUGUGUUUGAGAACA